UGCCAGCCGCCGCGGUAAUACGGGGGGUGCAAGCGUUAUUCGGAAUUAUUGGGCGUAAAGGGCGCGUAGGCGGUCCUGUUAGUCAGAUGUGAAAGCCCGGGGCUCAACCCCGGAAGUGCAUUUGAAACGGCAGGACUUGAGUAUGGGAGAGGGAAGUGGAAUUCCUGGUGUAGAGGUGAAAUUCGUAGAUAUCAGGAGGAACAUCUGUGGCGAAGGCGACUUCCUGGACCAAUACUGACGCUAAUGCGCGAAGGCGUGGGUAGCAAACAGGAUUAGAUA
rnacentral:rRNA from 1 species